GCCAAAUUUCUAGCCCCACCUACCCAUCUACACCCACUUACUACCCCCUCCCCGAAUAAAACAUUCUAAUUAUUUAGUAUAGGUGAUAAAAAAAUAAAUUGGAGCCAUACAAUUAGUACCGCAAGGGAAAGAUGAAAUAAAAAUGAAACAAAUAUCAAGCACAAAAAAGUAGAGAUUUAACCUCGUACCUUUUGCAUCAUGGUUUAACUAGUCUAACCAAGCAAAAAGACUUUCAGUUUGACCCCCCGAAACUAAGCGAGCUACUUCAAGGCAGCUUAAUGAGCCAACCCGUCUCUGUAGCAAAAGAGUGGGAUGACCUUCAAGUAGCGGUGACAGACCUAACGAGCUUAGUGAUAGCUGGUUACUCAAGAAAAGGAUUUUAGUCCAACCUAAAAUUAAAAUAAUCACAUGAAACACCAACUUAAUUUUAGAGCCAUUCAGAUAAGGUACAGCCUAUCUGAAACAGGAUACAACCUCGACCAACGGGUAAACCCCCUUUUCCUUUACUAAAAAGUAGGCCUAAAAGCAGCCACCUUAAAAAUAGCGUCAAAGCUUAUUCGUACUCUUAUUAAAAAUUUCCUCACCAUUAAUUAACCCUUCAACAAUACUGAGUAAUUCUAUACUGCUAUAGAAAUUUUUAUGUUAAAACUAGUAACAAGAAGAAGACCUUCUCUUAAAUGCGUCCGUAAAUCAGAAAGGACCCCCCACUGAUAAUUAACGCCUAUGACCCUAAAGUAAAAACUUAUCUAGAAAAACUUACUAAACGCGCCGUAAACCUAACACAAGAGCAUUUCAAGAAAGAUUAAAAGAAAAAGAAGGAACUCGGCAAAUAUUAACCCCGCCUGUUUACCAAAAACAUCGCCUCUUGAAAAAACAUAAGAGGUCCAGCCUGCCCAGUGACACUGUUCAACGGCCGCGGUAUCCUAACCGUGCGAAGGUAGCGUAAUCACUUGUCCUUUAAAUGGGGACUAGUAUGAACGGCACCACGAGGGUUAUACUGUCUCCUUUUUCUAAUCAGUGAAUCUAAUCUCCCCGUGAAGAAGCGGGGUUACAACUAUAAGACGAGAAGACCCUAUGGAGCUUUAAACAAAACAACAUUUGCUAAGUCACACACAAAUCUCAGGAAAUUAACUCUUAUUUUAGCCCUAUGAUUGUUAGUUUUAGGUUGGGGUGACCGCGGAGUAAAAAACAACCUCCACAAUGAAUAGGGCCCUCCCUUAAGCAAAAAGCCACAACUUUACGCAUCAACAAAAUUGACAUUAAUUGACCCAAUAUUUUGAUCAACGAAACAAGUUACCCUAGGGAUAACAGCGCAAUCCACUUCAAGAGCCCGUAUCGACAAGUGGGUUUACGACCUCGAUGUUGGAUCAGGGUACCCCAGUGGUGCAGCCGCUACUAAAGGUUCGUUUGUUCAACGAUUAAAACCCUACGUGAUCUGAGUUCAGACCGGAGAAAUCCAGGUCAGUUUCUAUCUAUAAGAAGCCUUUUCUAGUACGAAAGGACCGAAAAGACAUAGCCAAAGCAUCAGCAAGCUAUCCUUACAACUUAUGACCCGUACUCAAUAAAUAACAAGUUCAACACACAGCCUUAGAAAAAGGCA
rnacentral:rRNA from 1 species